AUUGAACGCUGGCGGCAGGCCUAACACAUGCAAGUCGAGCGAGCGGCGGACGGGUGAGUGGUGUCUGGGAAACUGCCUGAUGGAGGGGUAUAACUACUGGAAACGGUAGCUACUACCGCAUACCAUCAGAUGUGCCCAGAUGGGAUUAGCUAGUAGGGGGGGUAAUGGCUCACCUAGGCGACGAUCCCUAGCUGGUCUGAGAGGAUGACCAGCCACACUGGGACUGAGACACGGUCCAGACUCCUACGGGAGGCAGCAGUGGGGAAUCUUGGACAAUGGGCGAAAGUCUGAUGGAGCCACGCCGCGUGAGUGAAGAAGGCUUUCGGGUGGUAAAGCUCUGUCAGCGGGGAGGCGUUACCCGAAGAAGAAGCAACGGCUAACUACGUGCCAGCAGCCGCGGUAAUUC
rnacentral:rRNA from 1 species